rnacentral:rRNA from 1 species
CAACCCCUACGUUUAGUUGCUAACGCGUGAAGGCGAGCACUCUAGACGAACUGCCGUUGACAAAACGGAGGAAGGUGGGGAUGACGUCAAAUCAUCAUGCCCCUUAUGUUCUGGGCUACACACGUGCUACAAUGGCCGGUACAGACGGACGCAAAGCCGCGAGGUGGAGCAAAUCCUAAAAAGCCGGUCUCAGUUCGGAUUGCAGGCUGCAAUUCGCCUGCAUGAAGUCGGAAUCGCUAGUAAUCGCAGGUCAGCAUACUGCGGUCGAAUACGUUCCCGGGCCUU